AAGGUAUUUCCCCCUGGUUAUCUCCCUGGUCUGUGUACCAAGGGCCUUCACCUGGUUAUCUUCCUGGGCUGUGUACCAAGGGCCUUCCCCCUGGUUAUCUCCCUGGGCUGUCUCCCAAGGUAUUUCCCCCUGGUUAUCUCCCUGGUCUGUGUACCAAGGUAUUUCCCCCUGGUUAUCUCCCUGGUCUGUGUCCCAAGGUAUUUCCCCCUGGUUAUCUCCCUGGGCUGUGUCCCAAGGUAUUUCCCCCUGGUUAUCUCCCUGGGCUGUGUCCCAAGGUAUUUCCCCCUGGUUAUCUCCCUGGUCUGUGUCCCAAGGUAUUUCCCCCUGGUUAUCUC
ensembl:lncRNA